UACGGGGGGGCAAGCGUUGUUCGGAAUUACUGGGCGUAAAGGGCUCGUAGGCGGCCAACUAAGUCGGAUGUGAAAUCCCCAGGCUUAACCUGGGAACUGCAUCCGAUACUGGAUGGCUUGAAUCCGGGAGAGGGAUGCGGAAUUCCAGGUGUAGCGGUGAAAUGCGUAGAUAUCAGGAGGAACACCGGUGGCGAAAGGGCGGGGUCUCUGGGGCAGUAACUACGUGAGGAGCGAAAAGCGUGGGGGAGC
rnacentral:rRNA from 1 species